CCAAGACACUUCUAUGGUCUUCGGGCUAGUCAGGAUUAGAGACGAUUUUCCAUCUCAAGGACCACCUAUCAAGAGUUGCUCAACUGGUUCAUAGGAGGAUCGCAUAAGUACAACGUCUCCUACUAAUGAGUAAGAACUUUCUGGCAGCUGGAUAUGUCCCAAGACAAUAGCAACAUACCUUCCACUCCCACCA